GAUGAACGCUGGCGGCGUGCCUAAUACAUGCAAGUCGAGCGAACAGACGAUGAUCUUGCUCCUCUCACGUUAGCGGCACACGUGUGAGUAACGCGUGUAUAACCUACCUAUAAUACGGGUAUAACUUCGAAAAACCGGAUCUAAUACCGUAGAAUCUAUUGCACCACAUUGUUCAAUGGUAAAAUACGGUUUUUCUGUCACUUAUAGAUGGAUCCGCGCCGCAUUAGCUGGUUGUUAAGGUCACAGCUUACGAAGGCUACGAUGCGUAGCCGACCUGAGAGGGGGAUCGGCCACCCUGGAACUGAGACACGGUCAAGACGACUACGGGAGGGAGCAGUAGGGAAUCUUACGCAAUGGGCGGAAGUAUGACGGAGCAACGGCGAGUCAGUUGCGACGGUCCUGGGAUCGGAAUAAUGUGUUACUAGGGAAGAACAACUGUGUACGUAAAUAUGGACGUAUUGACGGUACCUAAUAAGAAAGCCACGGCUAACUACGUG
rnacentral:rRNA from 1 species